CUGGAUGCGGACUGGUGAGUCAGGCAUGAAACCCAGAGGCUGUAUCAUACUGGCGUUUUGUUUCCUUGACCACUGUGCGUCCGCCUCUUCUGAGGAGCUACUGGCGUUAAGAUCACCGCUGCUUGGCUGAGGUUUCAGCUGUUCCCAUUUGCCAGCAGAUGGCGCCAUCAUUCCAGAUGUCCUGGCUGGUGGCUGCUCAGGACCUACAGAACCUCACCUUCCUGAUUUCAGUAAAAUAUACAGACAGAAAUACAAUAACAUGCCGUAGUCAGCAGUGAGUGGCAAUAUGAAAUGCAUAAAAAGAAGGGGUUUGACACUGGCUACCACUUAUUAGACUAUAAAUAUGUUAAUGUGUCUUUAAGAGCUUUGAGUGUGGAUGUAUGUGGGUUUAAAAAAACAAAAAAACAGAAGCACCACUCUACCCGGCUACAGUGUAACUUGUUAUACAACUUUAUCCCUCCAUGUUAUCCCCAGUAAUGGGUGUGUUUGUUCUUAGUCACCCUCCUCCUCUUGUUCACAAUUUGAGCAUUUUGGAAAUUUCCCUCCAGCUGCAGUGGCAGAAUACAUUUCUUGUUUCCCUUGUCACAUGAAAUAUUUGUAAAAAGUUGCAUUUAACUGAAUCUGUCCAACAUUCAACAAAUGUCAUACAUUUACUUUGAAUGUAUAAAAUCUUCAGCUAAAUGUAAUUCAUCUUAAGCUAAAUGUAUGAAACAUUUUGAUAAAUAUUUAAAACUUUAAGUGAAAUUUUGUACAUGCAUUUACCUAAAUAUUUAAUGCAUUUUGCUAAAUAUUUAAAAUAGUACUACAUUCAUAAAUGUGUGAAACUCAUGUAAAUGAGGUCCACUUCAGGAGGCGGAGAGUCUGAUGUUUUAGUUAAUGGUUCAUUUUCUAGCUCUCUCAUUACUAUGCAGAUGUGGAGAAUGCUUAGUAGUCUAUUGUAAGAGACAACUUAAAUUGAUUAACAUGAAAGGAUGGAAAUGAAAAUGGGAAAAACAUGAUAGCAAGCUGUAUUAGAGUACUGUAACCCCAAAGAAUGUUCAUAUGCUUUUUUGCACAUCCUACAGCAUUAAUCCCCUACAAACUACUCACAACCCCCUAGCUGACUCAUCUGAACCUGACCUGAGAUAUAUUACUUAUCUGUUUACAGCCACAUCAUGUUAUCUGCUAAUAACACUGAGAAUAUAUAUAUGUAUAUAUAUAUAUAUAUAUAUAUAUAUAUAUAAUAUAGACAGAACAAGGCAAUCCUGCAUAACUUGCUUUUAAGAAUCUGUAGAUUAUUAAAAAAAUGUUGGAAGGUGCACUGGCCUUACAAGCACACACCAUGUAUAAACGCAUUAUGAAAAGGCACAGAGCACCUGGCAUUUGAGAGUUUUGUAUAAUGUAAGGAAUUCAUGAUAAAGACAUCCUACACAAACAGAUCUCUAGCUGCCUACAUGCUGCUAAAUAAAUGGGUUUUCUUUAACUUUC